AUUGAACGCUGGCGGAAUGCUUUACACAUGCAAGUCGAACGGCAGCACGGGGGCAGCCCUGGUGGCGAGUGGCGAACGGGUGAGUAAUACAUCGGAACGUGCCCGGUCGUGGGGGAUAACGUAGCGAAAGUUACGCUAAUACCGCAUACGAUCUGAGGAUGAAAGCGGGGGACCUUCGGGCCUCGCGCGAUCGGAGCAGCCGAUGUCAGAUUAGGUAGUUGGUGGGGUAAAGGCCUACCAAGCCGACGAUCUGUAGCUGGUCUGAGAGGACGACCAGCCACACUGGGACUGAGACACGGCCCAGACUCCUACGGGAGGCAGCAGUGGGGAAUUUUGGACAAUGGGCGCAAGCCUGAUCCAGCCAUUCCGCGUGCAGGACGAAGGCCUUCGGGUUGUAAACUGCUUUUGUACGGAACGAAAAGGCUCUGGCUAAUACCUGGGGCUCAUGACGGUACCGUAAGAAUAAGCACCGGCUAACUACGUG
rnacentral:rRNA from 1 species